rnacentral:rRNA from 1 species
GAUGAACGCUGGCGGCGUGCCUAAUACAUGCAAGUCGAACGAACGGACGAGAAGCUUGCUUCUUUGUUGUUAGCGGCGGACGGGUGAGUAACGCGUGGAUAACCUACCUAUAAGAGUGGGAUAACUACGGGAAACGGGAGCUAAUACCGGAUAAUAUUUUGAACCGCAUGGUUCAAAAGUGAAAGACGGUCUUGCUGUAACUUCUAGAUGGAUCCGCGCUGCUUUAGCUAGUUGGUAGGGUAACGGCUUACCAAGGGAACGAUGCAUAUCCGACCGAAGGGGGGGAUCGCCGACAUGGGAACGGGACCACGGUCAAGAGGCCUGCGGGAGGCACCAGAAGGGAAUCUGAGGCAGUGGGGGAAAUCCUGACGGAGUACCGCCACGUGGGUGAUGAAGGUCUUCGGAUCGUAAUGCUCGGUUAUUAGGAAUAAACAGAUUUGGAAGGUACUGAGCACAUCGUGACGGUACCUGAUCAGGAAGCCACGGCUAACUACGUG